UACGGGGGGGGCAAGCGUUGUUCGGAAUUACUGGGCGGAAAGGGCUCGUAGGCGGCCAACUAAGUCGGACGUGAAAUCCCCAGGCUCAACCUGGGAACUGCGUCUGAUACUGGAUGGCUUGAGUUCGGGAGAGGGAUGCGGAAUUCCAGGUGUAGCGGUGAAAUGCGUAGAUAUCUGGAGGAACACCGGUGGCGAAGGCGGCAUCCUGGACCGACACUGACGCUGAGGAGCGAAAGCCAGGGGAGCAAACGGG
rnacentral:rRNA from 1 species